ACCAGUGGCAAUAGCACGUUGAAUAGAUCAGUUCCCAAAGGAUCAUUGAAGUUAAGCAACGUUGUGUGUGGUUAAUAUACGGACCGGAUGGGUUAGGUAUCACCUCGGCACUAGCUUGCUGCUGGCU
rnacentral:rRNA from 1 species